ensembl:lncRNA
CUUCUCCGGCCUAGACCAAUCUGAAGGGAGUUUCAAGUGUAUUUUCGGUGCCCUCGAGUUCUUUCGCCCAGGCGAAACUCUUAAAGGGAAAGGGCAGAAGAAUGACUCCUGGGUAAAGAUUGGCCUGGGGAAUGGACUGGAUGGCGGCAGGAGAUCCAGCAGUUCACAAAUCUAACCACGGCAACCCUUAGGAGGAAGGAGUUUGCACUCGGACAGAGUCAAGCAUAGAGGCCUUUGCAGCUUCUCAGCAUAUGGUACACCUGAAGGAGCCGCCUGUGUCAGAGGGAAAAAGAAAGUCUGGCGUCAGCUGCUUGCAGCUCUGCCACACUCUUCUGUGGUGACACUCUGCCUCUCUACAGGCCCACGGCAAUGGGGCCAGCCACUA